UUCUUCGAGCACAAGGAAGAGAUGGGGUGCCCAAAGAAUGUCCCAGAUACGACCGCCCCGUUCCAACCCCCGCACGUGACCCUGCCUCCUCAUCGACUUCCCUCCUGGCCGUCGCCGCCUCUCCUCCUCUUCCUCCUCUCUCUCCCCUGCCGCCGCCGCUUCUCCUCCUCCCCCUCCCCCAUGCUAGCCCUCCACCUGCCAUCCACAGAGCCACAGGGUGGUCGAGUCAUCGGGGUGAGCAGCGGUGGCCAUCUGUGGUGUGUCGGGUGGAGGAGAUGAGGAGGGUGGGAAUGACGGCAGUGGGGGAAGGAGCAGCGAGGCCGGAGGAGCUCGCGCCGCCGCUGGUUGUGGAUGCGCUGCUGCAGCUCGUCUAGCGUCGACCUGGUCUUUUUCAUGUGAGGGCCUACAUAAGAAAAGCUCCCAUGGGAGCUUCUGCCCAUACUCCGAGUUGAAUUUACAGGUGAUGUAUCCAUGGAGACAAGAUGUUUGUAAAAUUGCCUGAGAGGGUUGUGUGGAUUUUACAAGUUGUUAUUGCUAUUACUUAUCUUGUAAAUUGUUUGUUAUUCCUUUCACCUAUUAUGUGGUUACUUUUGAGGUGUUUUUUGGUUAUGUCAUGACACAGGCUUAUCAAACGGCGGCGUUGCCUCUAGCAUCAGACACGGUGUGGCUGGUUGUUGUGUUUUACACCCACAGGAAGGCCCUUCGCUCAGCUGGAGUUUCCUUAGAAAAUGCGCCUGGCCGUGAGGGGUUGUGGAAGGGUGCCCUUGACGAGCAGGACAAUACCACGUCCCUUGCUCAUCGGUCUGACUGACAUGGCCAUCUUCAUAAAUGGGAUGGAGAGCUGUUGAGGGAGGCCCUGUCAUGGACUGGCCGAGACUGUCGAGCAUCGUGUUGAAAAUCCUCAGAGAGGUUGCGAUAUGCUUUGUCAACCAAUGGAUGCUGGCCGAGGUCGCCCAGGUCGAGAGCGCGCCCACCAGCCUGAAGCUCAUCCACAAGCCCUGAACUCAAGGUCAGCAACGGAGAUGGGUGUCCCUACCAGUGGCUCUUCAAGAGAGAGGAGCAAGAACAUGAUGGCGGCGGGGUGUUCGGUUUGUGGUCCACUUCGAUGCGGGAUGUGGAGGCGCGAUCCGACAAAGCCUCCCGAUGCUCCAACCACUCUUCCCAUCAACGCCAAGGAGCAGCAGCCUCCGCAGAUUCUAUGAUGACUGAUGCAAAGUCCGUGCUGUGCUCCUAUGAUCGAGGUAUAGAAGAAGCAGCAGAAAAUUGAAUACAUCAUUCUCUGCUGCAUUGAGGAUUGAUUUCAGUGCAGCCUUUCACUGAAAUCAUAUGAACAUGAUACUGUAGACUGCAGCCAUGAAUUAAUUCUCCUUCAUGAUGUCCACAUGACCUUUUGAGCAUUUGGAUUUGAUUUACGAUGCUUUUGUUCCUUUGCUUGAUGCCCCCCAUCAAUUGUAGGAUCUUCAGGAUAGGCCUUCCUAUCCAUCCUUAUCGGAUAAAUUAAAUAUAUCUCAUGUAGAUCUAUGUAUGAGAUGUUUUUUGUACAUCUGGUGUUCUUUACAUAUUAGUGUGUUGUAGCAGAUUUAGUGACAAAAAAGUCAUCCUGGAGCUUUGAUAUAAUUACAUUUGCUCAUUUUUUGUUAUGUGUUUUGUUUAGAGGAAUUGCUUCUUUACUUGACAGAUUAGGAGCUGGUGUUAGGUUCCACUGGAUCAAUUUUUAGCUCUUGUUUCUUAAGGUCUGCAGAGGUUAGAGGAGUAAUUAGUCUUCUAUGUUUAUCUAAUGAGUGUGUGUCUGGAUGCAUACAUAUAGUAGAGGAGCAAUUACCAUUUGGAUGUGCAUAAAUUAUUCUUCAUUUUUUUGCGUGUACAUGUGGAUGUGCAUAAACUGUUCUCUCUUUUCUUAACGAGUAUAUGUGAUACAUAGAAAAUGUAUAUGGUGGUUUCCAUUCUAGAUUAUCUGGCUGGUACAUGGAGCUUAUUUAAUUUUCCACUAUUAUGGCAUUAUUUGUACUGCUUGACAUAGCAUGCCCCCUUACUUCCUUGGUGACCUCCCACUACUUCAUCUACUGAAAUGAUUAGGCAGAUCACGUUUUUUCUAGCAUUAAACCUGCAAAGAAAAGAAAUCUUCGCCGAAGCAAUUAGUAUUCUUUGUUUUCCUAACAAGUGUAUGUGAACUCAUUCAGACAGUAGACGAAUAGUUACCAUUCUCUUUGUGUUUUAGUAAGUAUAUGUGGAUGCACAUCAAGUGUUCUCUGUUUUUAAUGGGUUAUAUGUUAAUGCAUAGAAAAUGUAGUACAUGGAGCAUAUUUAGUUUGUCUGAAUAGUAAUACUUAUUCACAAAUUUUGUUAGCUUGCUUCAAAAUUUAUUAAUCCAGUUAUGGUGUGGUUGCCUAUUACUCAAGAUGAUUUCAUAUUAGCUUCAGAGGACAUGUAUAUUGCGUAUCCUUUGCCUACUGAGCACACACAAAGAAAUGUUUCUAUCGGUAUCAUUAACUGAAACAUAUUCCAUUUUUGAUCAAUUGGUGGAUCUGACUAAUAUAGAUAUAUUGUAAGAGAUAUUAUUCACGUGCCAUUUUCUUAUUUCGAGUAAGCUUGAAACUGAUGGUCUCGGUUAGUUUGUGUAUUAACUUUCUUUAGAACCUAGAUCUAGAGAAACUAAGUAGAGGGUCGCCUUUUGUGCAGGAAUUUGCAGCAGGUCUGAUCCCUUGCGCGUGCUCCUCCGCUUGUCCUCACCCUCUCGACCCUCCCCUUGCUCAUCACCAUCCAUUUUAUUCAGAGUGUAGAUGGCGGGCAAAACACCUAAGCUCCAGAGGUUACUUGAAUGAUUCAUGGGAAUUUGAAUGUGAGGGGUCUCAAAGAAUUUUUAUAAAGAAAAAUCCAAAUAUCAACAUUUGCUAAUCUCGCUCGAUAGUUGAGGUCUUAUAGAGAACAUCAUAUGUAUAAUGAUGUUGAGAGUAACCUGCCAACAUCAUUUUCUCCAGAAGAUUGAGUAUAAUGAUGUUGAGAGCAACCUGCCAACAUCAUUUUCUCUAGAAGAUUGAGAACCGAUAGGAUUCUAUUUGUAUUUAUACUGACAUUCUCUCUUCUUCGACUAACUGAACAUUGAAUUACUGUGGUACAUGCAUCCUACUUCAUAUGAGCAGCGCUCAUGUUUCGAAAACAUAAACAGUGUGAGUUUACUAUUAAAGUGGAUGCCUUGUUUCUCCAGGAAUGAGCACAUGAGCUACUUUGACUAGGUGGCCACUUGAUUAGGUGUAUGUGUUAAUUUAAUGUUCUGUAACACGUUAGGCGUAGGUAGUAUUUUUGGACUGAGACUUGCUCCUGUUGUCCAUUUCAGAUAUUCAGUCUAAGAUCUAAAUUUCACCACUAUAUGUGUUUUGUUUACGUUUCCUGAUGUCUUUUAGAUGAACUGAAUCACUUGUGUUUAUGUGGAUACUAGCUACUUUUACUUCAGCACAUAAAGAACGAAAUCUGUAUGAGUAUUUUUUAUUUACCUUAAAGCAUUUCUACAUAAGCAAAACAUAUCAAGGCGCAGUAUGCUGGAAUAAAACCAUAUAUCCGGUUCAUGUUUACCCUUGUCUUUACACAUAUGAUUGGCACUAGCAAAUUCACACAU